rnacentral:lncRNA from 1 species
GAAGGUGUGUGAGAGCGCCCGAGAUGGCAGAACAAGAGCUACAGGCAGGCAUCAACAUUUACAUUGUAAUUCAAUAGACGCUACUACUACAAAGGAGCUUUAUUCUUCCAGCUUAAUAUGGUUGCUGCGGGAACACUGCAGGAUGAAACUGACUUUUUUUGUGGUAAUGUUUCUCCUGGUUGGGAACAACGCAAAUUAGCAAAGGCGUAAUUUAUAACCGCUGCUACCAAAGAGUGAAGUAUUUGUGGAAGUUCUGACUGGAAUCUAGCUCGUACAUAUGGAUUGUGGAAAUAAAGGAGGACGUGGAAAGCUUGCCAUAUUUUAUUUCAAGUUAAUACUAAAGCUGCCAGACUUAAUACAACUUUCUUUUAAUCUUUAUGGAUCACAUAUUUUCUGAAAAUUACAUGAUAAAACAAGGUUUGGUUUGUUCCAUGUGUCCAUUUUCAACAAUAAAUUUCAAAAUUGUAUUUUUAAAAAACAAUAUAAACACACACUUUAAAGAAAUAAUAUAUUUUAAGACAAUGCAGGUACUAUUUUAAUAUAAUAUUUUAAGAUAAUGCAAUACCUAUCAUGUUCCUCUCCUUUUUAGAGGCAGCCAUAUUCUGCUUUUAUCUGUCUCUUCUGUCAUUUACCUCCCUAUUUCUAAAUAAUUUGUACUGCCAUCUCUUGAUUUGCCAAUAGAUGUUGUGCUCUGACUACCUGUUGCUUCAGAUUAGGAUUUAGCUCUUUCAUGCCAAGCAACUUCUCCUUCCAACACAGCACUUUCACAGUUUAGGAGCUAAGUAAGUGACUAUGCCAAUAGCAAUGACAACACAGCCAAUAGUGUACUAUUCUUGUUUUCUUCCUUAUAAAACCUUGUAUCUAUUUACUUAGUUUGUUAUGCCCCAUCCUGAUAUUUUUCUACAACUGAUCUAUCAAAUGACUAUCAUGUUUAUUUUCCAAAUGAUCAAACAAUCAAUUCCAAUUUUGCCCUGAA